AUUGAACGCUGGCGGCAGGCCUAACACAUGCAAGUCGAACGAGUGGCGGACGGGUGAGUAAUGUCUGGGAAACUGCCCGUUGGAGGGGGGGAACUACUGGAGACGGUAGCGAAUACCGCAUACCAUCGGAUGUGCCCCGAGGGGAUUAGCUAGUAGGUGGGGUAACGGCUCACCUAGGCGACGAUCCCUAGCUGGUCUGAGAGGAUGACCAGCCACACUGGAACUGAGACACGGUCCAGACUCCUACGGGAGGCAGCAUUGGGGAAUAUUGCACAAUGGGCGCAAGCCUGAUGCAGCCAUGCCGCGUGUGUGAAGAAGGCCUUCGGGUUGUAAAGCACUUUCAGCGAGGAGGCGUUACUCGCAGAAGAAGCACCGGCUAACUCCGUGCCAGCAGCCGCGGUAAUUC
rnacentral:rRNA from 1 species